AACAUACUCCCUCCGUCCGAAAAAGCUUGUCCCAAGCUUGUCCCUCAAAUGGAUGUAUCUAGCACUAACUUGGUGCUAGAUACAUUCAUUUGAGGGGCAAGCUUUUUUGGACGGAGGGAGUACUGC
rfam:Triticum aestivum genome assembly, contig: Triticum_aestivum_CS42_TGACv1_scaffold_663284_T_6AS-0.307125_1AL-0.236510